rnacentral:sRNA from 1 species
GCGGAACUCCGGGUGCCGGUUGAGGUUGCUGGUGGACCUGCUCUGGUGGUCUUGGAUGAGGCCCCAAUGAGCGCGGCGCCCCUGGUGGGCUACAGCAGCAGCGGCUCCGAGGAUGAGUCCGAGGACGGGAUGCGGCCCAGGCCGGGGGAUGGGAGCCACCGUCGUGGCCAGAGCCCCCUUCCCAGGCAGAGAUUUCCAGUACCUGACAGUGUGCUGAACAUGUUCCCGGGCACCGAGGAGGGGCCUGAAGAUGACAGCACAAAACACGGGGGACGGGUGCGCACCUUCCCGCACGAGCGCGGCAACUGGGCCACCCACGUUUAUGUACCAUAUGAAGCCAAGGAGGAGUUCCUGGAUCUGCUUGAUGUGUUGCUGCCGCAUGCCCAGACAUAUGUCCCCCGGCUGGUAAGGAUGGAGGCGUUCCACCUCAGCCUGUCCCAGAGUGUGGUUCUGCGCCACCACUGGAUCCUCCCCUUCGUGCAGGCUCUGAAAGCCCGUAUGACCUCCUUCCAGAGAAAUGCAUCUCCUGCUAGACUGGUCCAGAUCAAA